GGGCCCGUAGUCUAGUCAGGAUUAGGACGCUGGCCUGCGGAGCCGGGAACUGGGGUUCAAAUCCCCGCGGGCCCG
rnacentral:tRNA from 1 species